rnacentral:rRNA from 1 species
CCUAACACAUGCAAGUCGAACGGUAACAGGAAGCAGCUUGCUGCUUCGCUGACGAGUGGCGGACGGGUGAGUAAUGUCUGGGAAACUGCCUGAUGGAGGGGGAUAACUACUGGAAACGGUAGCUAAUACCGCAUAACGUCUUCGGACCAAAGUGGGGGACCUUCGGGCCUCAUGCCAUCAGAUGUGCCCAGAUGGGAUUAGCUAGUAGGUGGGGUAAUGGCUCACCUAGGCGACGAUCCCUAGCUGGUCUGAGAGGAUGACCAGCCACACUGGAACUGAGACACGGUCCAGACUCCUACGGGAGGCAGCAGUGGGGAAUAUUGCACAAUGGGCGCAAGCCUGAUGCAGCCAUGCCGCGUGUAUGAAGAAGGCCUUCGGGUUGUAAAGUACUUUCAGCGAGGAGGAAGGCAUUAAGGUUAAUAACCUUAGUGAUUGACGUUACUCGCAGAAGAAGCACCGGCUAACUCCGUGCCAGCAGCCGCGGUAAUACGGAGGGUGCAAGCGUUAAUCGGAAUUACUGGGCGUAAAGCGCACGCAGGCGGUCUGUCAAGUCGGAUGUGAAAUCCCCGGGCUCAACCUGGGAACUGCAUUCGAAACUGACAGGCUAGAGUCUUGUAGAGGGGGGUAGAAUUCCAGGUGUAGCGGUGAAAUGCGUAGAGAUCUGGAGGAAUACCGGUGGCGAAGGCGGCCCCCUGGACA